AUUGAACGCUGGCGGCAUGCCUUACACAUGCAAGUCGAACGGCAGCACGGGAGCAAUCCUGGUGGCGAGUGGCGAACGGGUGAGUAAUAUAUCAGAACGUGCCCAGUCGUGGGGGAUAACGUAGCGAAAGCUACGCUAAUACCGCAUACGAUCUAUGGAUGAAAGCGGGGGAUCGCAAGACCUCGCGCGAUUGGAGCGGCCGAUAUCAGAUUAGGUAGUUGGUGGGGUAAAGGCUCACCAAGCCGACGAUCUGUAGCUGGUCUGAGAGGACGACCAGCCACACUGGGACUGAGACACGGCCCAGACUCCUACGGGAGGCAGCAGUGGGGAAUUUUGGACAAUGGGCGCAAGCCUGAUCCAGCAAUGCCGCGUGCAGGAUGAAGGCCUUCGGGUUGUAAACUGCUUUUGUACGGAGCGAAAAGGCUUCCACUAAUACUGGGGGCUCAUGACGGUACCGUAAGAAUAAGCACCGGCUAACUACGUGCCAGCAGCCGCCGUAAAAC
rnacentral:rRNA from 1 species